CCUGCCUCGGCCUCCCAAAGUGCUGGGAUUACAGGCGUGAGCCACCGCGCCUGGCCCAGAGAAGGAACAAGCUAUAAAUCGGGCUGGAAUUGUUCAAGAGGAUGUGCAGCCACCAGGGUUAAAAGUGUGGUCUGAUCCAUUUGGCAGGAAAUGAGAGGGCUGUCAUCAGCUCUGAUUAAGAAAGGAGAUUUCUUCAUGCUUUCGAUUCUGCAUGGGGUACAGCCAGUCACCUCACCAGAGAAUGACGGCUGGAGAAGAAAACUCUGUAAUACCAUAAAUAAGAGUGCUUGUAAUAAAAGACUGUGCACAAGGAUUAAUAUUUCCCUUCUUAAGUAUCAAAAGAACUCUGGAACAAAUUAUACCAUUAGGAAGGUUUUCAUGAUUCAGUUGAUUUUCCAAAAAUGAAGCUAUCUCACCCAGCUGGGUUUGGAGGAGCAAUCUGCUUAUUAUUCUGUCGUUACCACUUACUCAAGCGAGCUGUGAUAUGAAUACAAGCAACCAGUGGGCUCGGGAAGGUCCGGGUCUCUUCUGCCAUCUUCCAGAUAAGAGAUUUCAGUAAAAAACUGCCAUGCUGAGCUGCCUUAUAGAGCUCUUCGAAAAUGUUCGAGUUGAUAAAGCUCUUUGAGGACAAGGUACUUCGUGCACCUCAUGCUGAAGAUUGCACCGUGUUGGAAAAUAAAUAUGAAGCAAGUCAAACUAGAUGCAUACACUUGUGUAGAAAUCAAUAAUCAAUUAAUAGAAGUGAAAAAAUAGACAUUAAAAUGAUUUAUU
rnacentral:lncRNA from 10 species